GGGGGCAGCAAUGUCACCGGCGAACGGGUGCGUAACGCGUAUGCAACCUACCUACAUCAGGGGGAUAGCCCUAGGAAACUGGGAUUAACACCGCAUAAUAUUGGAUAUGGCAUCAUAACCAAUUGAAAUAUUUAUAGGAUGUAGAUGGGCAUGCGUAGGAUUAGCUAGUUGGUAAGGUAACGGCUUACCAAGGCUACGAUCCUUAGGGGCUCUGAGAGGAGUAUCCCCCACACUGGCACUGAGAUACGGGCCAGACUCCUACGGGAGGCAGCAGUAGGGAAUAUUGGGCAAUGGAGGCAACUCUGACCCAGCCAUGCCGCGUGCAGGAAGACGGUCCUCUGGAUUGUAAACUGCUUUUGAAUGGGAAGAAUGUGUGGCUUGCGAGCUAUAAUGACGGUACCAUUAGAAUAAGCCACGGCUAACUACGUGCCAGCAGCCGCGGUAAUACGUAGGUGGCGAGCGUUAUCCGGAUUUAUUGGGUUUAAAGGGUGCGUAGGCGGCUUAAUAAGUCGGUGGUUAAAAGUAGCAGCUUAACUGUUUUACAUGCCAUCGAUACUGUUGAGCUUGAGAUAUUUGGAGGCAGCUAGAAUUUCCGGUGUAGCGGUGAAAUGCAUAGAUACCGGAAGGAAUACCAAUUGCGAAGGCAGGUUGCUACGAAUAAACUGACGCUGAUGCACGAAAGCGUGGGGAUCAAACAGGAUUAGAUACCCUGGUAGUCCACGCCGUAAACGAUGAUUACUAGUUGUUGGGGUUUAAGCCUCAGUGACCAAGGGAAACCGAUAAGUAAUCCACCUGGGGAGUACGC
rnacentral:rRNA from 1 species